UACGUAGGGUGCAAGCGUUAAUCGGAAUUACUGGGCGUAAAGCGUGCGCAGGCGGUUUUGUAAGUCUGUCGUGAAAUCCCCGGGCUUAACCUGGGAAUGGCGAUGGAGACUGCAAGGCUAGAGUUUGGCAGAGGGGGGUAGAAUUCCACGUGUAGCAGUGAAAUGCGUAGAGAUGUGGAGGAACACCGAUGGCGAAGACAGUGUUCUGGGCCAGUACUGACGCUGAGGAGCGAAAGCGUGGGGAGCAAACAGG
rnacentral:rRNA from 1 species